rnacentral:rRNA from 1 species
GAUGAACGCUGGCGGCGUGCCUAAUACAUGCAAGUCGAGCGAACGGACGAGAAGCUUGCUUCUCUGAUGUUAGCGGCGGACGGGUGAGUAACACGUGGAUAACCUACCUAUAAGACUGGGAUAACUUCGGGAAACCGGAGCUAAUACCGGAUAAUAUUUUGAACCGCAUGGUUCAAAAGUAAAAGACGGUCUUGCUGUCACUUAUAGAUGGAUCCGCGCUGCAUUAGCUAGUUGGUAAGGUAACGGCUUACCAAGGCAACGAUGCAUAGCCGACCUGAGAGGGUGAUCCGCCACACUGGAACUGAGACACGGUCCAGACUACUACGGGAGGCAGCAGUAGGGAAUCUUCCGCAAUGGGCGAAAGCCUGACGGAGCAACGCCGCGUGAGUGAUGAAGGUCUUCGGAUCGUAAAACUCUGUUAUUAGGGAAGAACAUAUGUGUAAGUAACUGUGCACAUCUUGACGGUACCUAAUCAGAAAGCCACGGCUAACUACGUG